CAGCUUUCGCAAGGCCAGCCCUCCUGGCUCGGAUUCCUGGACAAGGGAUCCCUGGGAGUUUUUCCGUCUGCUGCAAUAGCGUCAGUAAAAGGCAGGAACUUGUGAAAAACAGGAAGGAGAUAGAGCUCGGUCAACAUACGCUCUGCUGGUUUAAUUCUACUCUACAUCCAAAGGCUGAUGCUCAUGUUGAGACUUUCCUGGUGGGUUUCCCUCAGCAGAUGUGCAAUCCUAUAGCUGCAAAAAGCCCUUCUUCCACCCAUGACAACAGACUCUUUCCUUUACAUUGGUUUCCAGUGAGAUGAUGACACACAAAGCUUUUGCCUGGAGGUUCUGCAUCCUGUCGAGUGGGGUGUUUCAACCAUCUGGUGACUACAAAUCGAAGCGCCGUGCAGGUGUACAGAAUAGCCUGUAUGGUGUUGCUAUCAACAGUGUGGAUAGAUUCACACUCUUUCCCAUAGCUCAUCCUGCUUGAGCAUUUUAUUAAAGCUGUUCUGGGAUCACUUCUUCAUUUUUUAUUUGCUGUGGUUCGGAAAGAGGGAAGUUGGUCCCAGUGUCUGUUUGUAACAAGAAUACAAAUAUGCCAAGAUUCUUGGACCGAAUCUCAAAUGCUGUCUUUCAGCAAGGCAGUAAACCACAGCUAUGAGUCAGAAAUGUGCCACUGGUCCUGUGAACCAUUCAAUUGUUUAAGCCAUGAAAGAAAUUCCCUGGUAUGACUAAAGCAUCUGUUUGUCCGUGAGCGUGUAUGCACACUAUUUAUGUGGGUUUGACUAAGCAUGUGUGUGUGUAUAUAUAUGUGUGUGAGAGAAAGUGCACUGGAUUCUGCUACUGACACACAAAAUACGUUGGGCAUGUUGACAUGUGCGGCAGUGUGACAUGCAGGACAUAUUCUGCGACGCACUCCAUCUGCAAGUGCAUUUUGCUAAUACUUUAACUUCAAUAAAUGAAAGACUACUCUGGA